AGAGUUUGAUCCUGGCUCAGCCUGAACGCUGGCGGCGUGGUUAAGACAUGCAAGUCGCACGGGUGUAGCAAUACAUCAGUGGCGCACGGGUGAGUAAUGUAUCGCUAACGUACCCCGGAGACAGGGAUAGCUGCCCGAAAGGGCAGGUAAUACCUGAUGAUAUGACCUGGUUGCAUAAUCGGGUCCUCAAAGGGCGCAAGCCGCUCUGGGAUCGGGCGAUAUCGUAUCAGCUAGUUGGUAGGGUAACGGCCUACCAAGGCGACGACGCGUAGCCGGACUGAGAGGUCGGUCGGCCACAUCGGGACUGAGACACUGCCCGGGCUCCUACGGGGGGCUGCAGUAACGAAUCUUCGUCAAUGUACGCAAGUAUGAACGAGCGACGCCGCGUGGAGGAUGAAGUUCUUCGGAAUGUAAACUCCUGUCAGGGGUUAGAAAGUUCUGAUCAACCCCAGAGAUG
rnacentral:rRNA from 1 species